rnacentral:rRNA from 1 species
UACAGGGGGUGCAAACGUUGCUCGGAAUCAUUGGGCGUAAAGCGCACGUAGGCGGUCUGUUAUGUCGGAUGUGAAAGCCCUUGGCUCAACCGAGGAAGUGCAUCCGAAACUGGCAGGCUAGAGUACUAAAGAGGAUCGCGGAAUUCCCGGUGUAGAGGUGAAAUUCGUAGAUAUCGGGAGGAACACCGGUGGCGAAGGCGGCGAUCUGGGUAGAUACUGACGCUGAGGUGCGAAAGCGUGGGGAGCAAACAGG